UCUUUUGACUGUCCAAGGAGUUCUCCAACUGAUGUGCCAUUUCGACGUGGAUUAGACAUAGGCCUCUCCUCUGUCAAAUUUGACAGCGUCUUCUCUUUCUGUCUUUUUUUUUUUUUAUUGUUUCUCAGUGCGUCUCUCUCGCAUCUUUCUUCCUUCAUCUCACCCAGGACUUCAAAAUUUCAGGGAAACACUUUUUCUCUCUUCAAAUUUCUUCUCUCUUCUUGAGUAUCAGGAACAUGGAUCAAAAUUUUUGGACUUUGGACAGAGAAUCAAUGCCGAGAAGACUCGACUGCUCCGGUGACUUCGUGGCGGUUUCCGGCCACCGAUUGACUUGCAUGAGUCACCGUGUUCGUGAUUUCCGACGGCUUAAUACCAAAACAGAAUCAGAAACUUUACGAAUGGAGAAGAGAAAUUGAAUAAUGGUUUGUCAAACAACCCAAGGCCACCAAGCAUGAAUAUAUUGAUCGAAAGCAUUUACAAGUGCAUAGGUUGGUAUAAAUUGAAUGGGUUGUGAAGUUUGGAGGUGGGUCAAAUAGUGAUUGGGUGCCCUUAGUGUUUGCAGAUGAUAGGUGAUACAGCAGGACAGACCACCAAAGUAAUUCAAGAUGCCAAGCCCAUUGCUUCAUCAACUGUCGAGACCAUUUCACCAGCGGAUCCUGUCGUGAUUACUGGAACUGCUGGAGUAAUAUUCCUCACAUACUUCCUUCUUCCUCCAAUUUGGUCUGCUAUCUCUUUUAACCUCAGAUGAUACAAAGGUAGUACAAGCUUAUUGUGAUAUGAUAUUGCUUCAAGAAAAUCCAUAAAUCAACAAUUCAAGUACCUAGUCUUUGGAAGAUAUAAACCAGUUUAAAGAUUGCAUGUUUUCGGUUUUGGCUUAACAUACAUAAUUUUAUCAUCAUUUGAGGCUACAUAUUUGUUCUAACAUGGAUGUACUAAUAGCUAAUGUGCUAUGGUUGUCCUACUCAGGUGCCCUCACUCCUGCUCAAACCCUUGAAGAUUUUGUUUUGUGGUUC